rnacentral:sRNA from 1 species
CCAUAGCCCCGAUGGAAGUGGAAAUCCUUUUGUCCGCCGCGGCGGACAAAAGAUUGGAACGGACAGCGGGAUUAAGC